rnacentral:tRNA from 1 species
UCAGAUGUAGCUCAGUGUUUAAAGCAGUUCAGCUGCUAACUUAAAGGUCGGGGGUUCGAACCCACCAGCUGUU